rnacentral:rRNA from 1 species
UACGAAGGGGGCGAGCGUUGUUCGGAAUCACUGGGCGUAAAGCGUGCGUAGGCUGUUUCGCAAGUUGGAAGUGAAAGCCCAGGGCUCAACCCUGGAACUGCUUUCAAAACUGCGAGACUCGAAUUCGGGAGAGGAUAGCGGAAUUCCCAGUGUAGUAGUGAAAUACGUAGAUAUUGGGAGGAACACCAGUGGCGCAAGCGGCUAUCUGGACCGACAUUGACGCUGAGGCACGAAAGCGUGGGGAUCAAACAGG